rnacentral:rRNA from 1 species
AAACCGGUGCUAAUACCGGAUACCCCCAUACCAUCGCAUGAUGGAAUGAGGAAAUGAUUUAUUGCUCUUGGAGGGGCUCGCGGCCUAUCAGCUUGUUGGUGAGGUAAUGGCUCACCAAGGCUUCGACGGGUAGCCGGUCUGAGAGGACGACCAGCCACACUGGGACUGAGACACGGCCCAGACUCCUACGGGAGGCAGCAGUGGGGAAUAUUGCGCAAUGGGCGAAAGCCUGACGCAGCAACGCCGCGUGGAGGACGAAGGCUCUCGGGUUGUAAACUCCUUUCAGCAGGGAAGAAAUUGACGGUACCUGCAGAAGAAGCACCGGCCAACUACGUGCCAGCAGCCGCGGUAAUACGUAGGGUGCAAGCGUUGUCCGGAUUCAUUGGGCGUAAAGAGCUCGUAGGCGGCUUAGCAAGUCGGAUGUGAAACCCUCAGGCUCAACCUGGGGAUGCCAUCUGAUACUGCUAUGGCUAGAGUACGGUAGGGGACUACGGAAUUCCUGGUGUAGCGGUGAAAUGCGCAGAUAUCAGGAGGAACACCGGUGGCGAAGGCGGUAGUCUGGGCCGUUACUGACGCUGAGGAGCGAAAGCGUGGGGAGCGAACAGGAUUAGAUACCCUGGUAGUCCACGCCGUAAACGUUGGGCACUAGGUGUGGGGUCUAUUCGACGGACCCCGUGCCGUAGCUAACGCAUUAAGUGCCCCGCCUGGGGAGUACGGCCGCAAGGCUAAAACUCAAAGGAAUUGACGG